rnacentral:rRNA from 1 species
UACGUAGGGUGCAAGCGUUGUCCGGAAUUAUUGGGCGUAAAGAGCUCGUAGGCGGUCUGUCGCGUCGGCUGUGAAAACCCGAGGCUCAACCUCGGGCCUGCAGUCGAUACGGGCAAACUAGAGUACUGCAGGGGAGACUGGAAUUCCUGGUGUAGCGGUGAAAUGCGCAGAUAUCAGGAAGAACACCCGUGGCGAAGGCGGUUCUCUGGGACGGUACUGACGCUGAGACGCGAAAGCGUGGGGAGCGAACAGG